AUGGGCAAAAGAGAUCCAUGGAACCUGAGAGGCAAGGUGUUAUUAUAUGCAUUCUUUGGCAAACUUGUCAGGAGGCGCAUAAGAAGAAGCACCCAGAUGGUUCAGUCAACUUCUCAGUUUUCUAGGAAGUGCUCAGAGAGGUGCAAGACCAUGUCUGCUAAAGAGAAAGGGAAAUUUGAAGACAUGGCAAAGGCGAACAAGGCUCGUUAUGAAAGACAGAUGAAAACCUAUAUCCCUCCUAAAGAUCCCCUUUAGGACGAAAAAGUAGUUCAAGGAUCCCAAUGCACCCAAGAGGCAUUCUUUGGCUGUUUUCUUGUUCUGUUCUGAGUAUUGCCCGAAAAUCAAAGGAGAACAUCCUGGCCUAUCCAUUGGUGAGUUGUAAAGAAAUUGGAAGAGAUGUGGAAGGGCACUGCCUCAGAUGAUAAGCAGCCUUAUGAAAAGAAGGCUGUGAAGCUGAAGGAAAAAUAUGAAAAGGAUAUUGCCUCAUACUGAGCUAAAGGAAAGCCUGAUGCAGCAAAAAAGGGAGUUGUCACGGCUAAAAAAAGCAAAAAAAGGAAGAAGAGGAAGAUGAAGAUGAUGAUGAUGAUGAUAAUGAGUA
rnacentral:lncRNA from 10 species